rnacentral:rRNA from 1 species
UAACAGAGGGUUUGAUUAUGGCUCAGAUUAGACGCUGGCGGGAUGCUUUACAUACAAGUCGAACGGCAGCACGGACUUCGGUCUGGUGGCGAGUGGCGACAGGUGAGUAAUGUAUCGGGCAGUACCUAGUAGCGGGGGAUAACUACGCGGCGUAGCUAAUACCGCAUACGCCCUUCGAGGAAAGCGGGGGACCUUCGGGCUCGCACUAUUAGAGCGGCCGAUAUCGGAUUGGCUAGUUGGUGGGGUAACGGCUCACCAAGGCGACGAUCCGUAGCUGGUUUUGAGGAGGACGACCAGCCACACUGGGACUGAGACACAGCCCAGACUCCUACGGGAGGCAGCAGUGGAAUUUGGACAAUGGGAAACCUGAUCCAGCCAUCCCGCGUGUGCGAUGAAGGCCUUCGGGUUGCCAAAGCACUUUUGGCGGAAAGAGCGGCACGGGAUAAUACCCGUGCAAUGACCGUACCUGCAGAAUAAGCACCGGUAACUACCGUGCCAGCAGCCGCGGUAAUACGUAGGGUGCAAGCGUUAAUCGGAAUUACUGGGCGUAAAGCGUGCGAGCGGUUCGGAAAGAAGAAAGAUGAAAUCAGGAAAACGCUUUGGAACUGCAUUUUAACUACCGAGCUAGAGUGUGUCAGAGGGAGGUGGAAUUCGCGAUAGCAGUGAAAGUGCGUGGUAUGCGGAGGGAACACCGAUGGCGAAGGCAGCCUCCUGGGAUAACACUGACGCUCAUGCACGAAAGCGUGGGAGCAAACGGGAUUAGAUACCCUGGUAGUCCACGCCCUAAACGAUGUCAACUAGCCUGUUGACGGGCGCUGGUAGCGCAGCUAACGCGUGAAGUUGACCGCCUGGGAAGUACGGUCGCAAGAUUAAAACUCAAAGGAAUUGACGGGGACCCGCACAAGCGGUGGAUGAUGUGGAUUAAUUCGAUGCAACGCGAAAAACCUUACCUACCGCCGAGCAUGUCUGGAAUCCCGAAGAGAUUUGGGAGUGCUCGCAAGAGAACCGGAACACAGGUGCUGCAUGGCUGUCGUCAGCUCGUGUCGUGAGAUGUUGGGUUAAGUCCCGCAACAGGCGCAGCCCUUGUCAUUAGUUGCUACGAAGAACUGCUCGGCCGAGACUGCCGGUGGUAAACCGGAGGAAGGUGGGGAUGACGUCAAGUCCUCAUGGCCCUUAUGGGUAGGGCUUCACACGUCAUACAAUGGUCGGGACAGAGGUCGCCAACCCGCGAGGGAGAGCCAAUCCCAGAAACCCGAUCGUAGUCCGGAUCACCAGUCUGCAACUCGACUGCGUGAAGUCCGGAAUCAUAGUAAUCGCGGAUCAGCAUGUCGCAGUGGGCCGUUCCCAGGUCUUGUACACACGCCGUCACACCAUGGGAGUGGGUUUUGAAGUAGAUUAGCCUAACCGUAAGGAGGGCGAUUACCACGGUAGGAUUCAUGACUGGGGUGAAGUCGUAACAAGGUAG